UACGUAGGGGGCUAGCGUUAUCCGGAAUUACUGGGCGUAAAGCGUGCGCAGGCGGUUUUGUAAGUCUGUCGUGAAAGCCCCGGGCUCAACCUGGGAAUUGAGAUGGAGACUGCAAGGCUUGAAUCUGGCAGAGGGGGGUAGAAUUCCACGUGUAGCAGUGAAAUGCGUAGAGAUGUGGAGGAACACCGAUGGCGAAGGCAGCCCCCUGGGUCAAGAUUGACGCUCAUGCACGAAAGCGUGGGGAGCAAACAGGAUUAGAUA
rnacentral:rRNA from 1 species